CUGAUCACCAUAAUGGUGACUUUAAAUGAAACAAAACAUCAACAACUAAACCUAAUAAGUGGAUUGUGUUUUCUACAGCAAUGUUUCUACAGAACAUUUUGAAAUAAUGUUUUAUAAGAGUUUUAAAAUAAUAAAAUGCAAUGUUUCUUUAUCAUUUACAUAACAAACCAAAAAAGUUAAUAUAGAGAACAGUUGUGAGUGGUGUGAUUAUGCCUUUUAUUUCACCGCAAAAAUGAUUUACGAGUGGAAUGUGCAAUGUUAUUUCAGAGUUUUUACAGUAUAUCAUGCUGCAGUGCACUAGCAUAUAUCCAAUGUGUGAAAACUUUCUUUUCAUGAUCAUUUGUUUUUGCUGUACAAAAACAUGCCAAUUCACUCAGCCAUAUGAUCUACGGAAAAACACAAAUAGGUCUCGUUUUUGCAAGUCUUUGAAGGUCACUGUGCCCUAUUCAAAACAACACAGCAUGCUGACUGGUGUCAACCAAUCGCUGAGAAUUUAAGCAACAAAUAAAUGUUUAAACAUCACAUAAACAACACACUUACAGAUUUACCAUCUGACUAUAAACGCAAGACGACGUGAGCUUCAGUAAACUGCAGACAUGAAAACAAUAAUCGUGCUGCUGUUUCAUUUCUCAGGUUUCUGGAUGAGGGCAUCCAGUCUUUUUCCCAGACAAUUCUACUAUGUAGGCAACACAAUGACUUGGACGAAUGCACAGAGCUACUGCAAAGAAACAUAUACAGAUCUAGUUUUUGUGUAUAGUGAGGAUGACAUUGACCUGCUGAACCAAAUCACACCCACCGUAUACUCAUAUAGUCUCCCCAUGUGGAUAGGGGGCUUUAGUUUGAUUGAUGAUUCAGAAAACGUUACAGACAUUACAGACUAUUACUGCUUGGCAAUAAACAUGUUUUCCAAGAAACUGAGUAAAAAGAGUUGCACCAAUGCGUAUCCGUUUUACUGUAGCAGAGGUGAGUGGCUCAAAUUUUAAAAUAGGCUAAAUCUAAACAUUGGUGUUUUUGUACUGAUAUUUGUGUCUCUGCUAAGAUGAAGGCAGAAAGGUGCUGUUGCGAAUCAAAGUGGCAUCUGACAAACAGCUUACAGAUCCUGCAAUGAAGGCAAACAUCUUAACUGAGAUCAAGAAGAAAGUUGACGAGCAAAAGUUUGGCAAUGUUAUCAAAACAGUGUGGAGCACAAAGCAGGAUUUCCAUCGAAAUGAUAUUAAGAUAGCAAAUGCAACCUGCCCAUAACUUGGCUUUUCAAAUAGUUUUUCCAAAAUAUCACACUGCAUAUAAUGUCGUGCAUUUGCAACUAAUGUCCUUCCUUAUAUAACCUACAUGUUUUUAAAUUUACUGUAGUAAGUGAUUAAGGUUUAUCAAGCAAAAACUAAAUGAAUAGUCAGAAAUAUAGUCUUGUGCACUGUUUGUAAAACAUUUAUUAAAUAAAUAUUCUGAACUGCUUCUGAAAUGAUUUUGUGAGUAAUAUUUAUUCUUAAAGUUUUCAUUCUGGAAUUUGCAGUUUUCAGAUAUCUUUUUGAAAAAACCUUGUUAUCUUAAACCAUACAUGCAAUUGUGUCAGAUGCAAACACUGUAUGUGAACCUGUUGACAGUUUUCCUAAUUUGAAUGAACAAGUUUGCUUUCUUUUUUUACAUCUAUUUGCAAACUAUCCCGACUGUCUAUGUCUAAUGGGUGUGCUUGGUUAUUUGUCUCCAGCUCAAGCUGUCUCUCUUUUAAAGUGCACCUAUUUCAUUGCUAAAAAUCAAUGUUAUUUUGUGUAUUUGGUAUAAUACAAUGUGUUCGUGUGGUUUAUGGUUAAAAAACACAUUAUUUUCCACAUACCGUACAUUUUUGUAGUUCCA